UUAGGGUGCUACACAAGGUAAUGAAGGAAUGCUUCCUGUAGACUAUAGCGAAAGACUGCCCCACCUGAGUUCCCUUACAAAGAAAUCCCUUAUACUCUCUUCCUACACAAUAGAGGUGUGUUUUGGAUGGGAGUAGUGUUGCUAUCAGAUGCCUCUGGCCUGGCCUCAUCAAACAUGAUGUUGCCCAAACUGAAGGAUGAGCAAGAUCUGCUUGGCUUGCUGGUUCCUUUGCUCCAUGGCUCUACCUACCAAGACUGUUCAUUUCAGGGUACAUGGCCUGACUAUUUUGCUUACAGACCAAUGAGGCUAUUAAAAAGUCAUGAAAAUAUGACAAGAAGGUCCUAAAUGUUGCAAACAACCUCUUGACAAAGUCUGUUUUUCCAAAUGAGGAAACUGUGUGAAAACUACAAGCAGAUGGACUGGACUCACUUACAGGAGAGGAUGAGAAAGGAAAUCUCUUGGCAAGAGGCAUAAAUGGCAUUAUCUUCUUGGGUUAUGAAGAAUCUUCUUACUUGACAGAGACAAAAACUUGGGGUGCACCUGAUGCUGUAGAGAACAUUUCCAUUCUUGAAGAUGCGCAGUAACUUGUUGUCUGUGGUCACCUCAUGGAAGUUGGCCCCUUUCUCAUUGGCAAAGAAGAGGUCUGGUUUCCAGAUAGAGUCGAGCAUGGAUGGGUCUAGGUCGAGAGAGUCAUCUGGAUAUUCUCGAGUCAUUUUCAACUUCCAAGGAUGUAUCAGUUGACUUGAAAGUAGGAGCUCUACUUCUGGUGCUUGGGAACAUUGGCAGCAGAG